AAGUAAGUUUUACAAGGUAAUCAGGGUCCUGUUGGGGUGCCAGGACAGACAGACUGGCUAACUUUAUGUUUUACAGAGUAGUCUGGGUCCUGUUGGGGUGCCAGGACAGACAGACUGGCUAACUUUAUGUUUUACAGAGUAGUCUGGGUCCUGUUGGGGUGCCAGGACAGACAGACUGACUAACUUUAUGUUUUACAGGGUAGUCUGGGUCCUGUUGGGGUGCCAGGACAGACAGACUGGCUAACUUUAUGUUUUACAGAGUAGUCUGGGUCCUGUUGGGGUGCCAGGACAGACAGACUGACUAACUUUAUGUUUUACAGGGUAGUCUGGGUCCUGUUGGGGUGCCAGGACAGACAGACUGACUAACUUUAUGUUUUACAGGGUAGUCUGGGUCCUGUUGGGGUGCCAGGACAGGUGGGCCCAAAGGGAGAUCAGGGGAAUAUUGGACCGUCUGGGCCAAGAGGAACACCUGGGAUGCCAGGACUACCCGGUUUGUUUGGCGAGAAGGGUUUGAAAGGCUUUGAGGGAUUUCCUGGGCAACCUGGGACAAGGGGCCUGCCGGGGGCACCUGGACUCCCAGGACUUCCAGGACCCUCAGUAAACAUGACCCUU